rnacentral:lncRNA from 1 species
UUCCAAUAUAGAGUGAGGAUGGGGUUUCCGCCAUCAUCACACAAGACACAACGGUCGUGAAGGGUUAAACGGGGAGAUUUGAUAUAAAAACGACGGUCACCAUUUCCGUCGUAAGUGGCACCUUUAUCUGUGUUAAUUUGAAGAUUGAUUAUGUAAGGAGCACAGUAGGAAAGGUCGAUAACUGGAAAUGGAUAUUCCAUUGGAGAGAGAGGGAGACGAAGAGUUCUAGGUUAUGAAGAACAUCGCAAUAACGUAUGGUAUUCAUGGAUACACGCGUUAACUUAAACAAACUAUACAACUUAGUCAAACUUCACGGCUGAAGUAGGUUAGUUACUGAAUUACUGCUGCAAGUAGAAGAAGACUCCGGUUGACUUCACAGUUAUAACUUUUAGAUUCCAGAAAUUGGAUACCAUGUGCGACUCAGUCAUCUAAUAGGUUUAACUAGUGGACCAACAUGCUCCGAGGUUUCCUUUUCCUUAUUUAUUGUCAUUUUCUCGCAUAUCACAUAUUAGUUUGGAUUGGUUGUCUCUCACUGUGUUUUGUCUAAUUUACAGUAUAAAAGUUAUGGCGUUGUUCAGUUUAUUUGGUCGUGCUUUUGACAUUCAUGUUCAAAUUGAAUAUGUAUGUUAACAUAAUUGAUUAUGCAAGAUACCUUAACUGAUUAUUCUGUGACUCCACUUGAAGUAAUUAAAUUUCAAUAAUCAGAGACUUCUUAAAAUACCACUACAAAAAAAAAACUGAUGUGAACUCUUGCAAUCCCUCUGAAGCGAAACUUGUUGAUAAUAUACAUAAUUUAAAACCUUUACUACAUUAACACUAUUGAUGAUAAAUUCUAACAAGUAAAACUUACUUGUUGCUGUGACACCAUUAAUUUGAAGCAAGUUGCAUCCUUUUUAAGGCUUGGGGUGGCAAAUUUACUGGUUUUUCUCUUAGCUUUUCAAUUUCCUGUAUUGGCCACUAUACCAAUUGUUUACCAGACUUAUGCAGUGUCGGCAAAACACAUGUGCAUCAUUCACCAAAUUAUUUGAAGUCAACUUCAAUUUCUAAAGUAAAAAGUAAAAGAAAAAUGCUGUGGAGCCCUGUAUGAGUUGGCUCAUGUUAUUUUAAAUAAUGUCGUUACAUCUAUACCCAGAAACCGUGCCCAAAAAAAAAAUCUAAUUAUUUGAGUCUAGAGUCAACACUAUUUCAUCAAGUUGUCUUGAAUUAAGGUAACUUUAUAAUCAUAUUUUGUUUAACUUUCUAAUUUAAUUUAAAACUGAAAUCAUUUAUACAUCAUCUAUUUAAUUUAAAAUUAGUUUCCUAGAUUUAGUUAGACUCAAUUAAUUUAGAUCACAGUUAUGUUUUCUUUAUCAUAUCAAAGAGAACCAAGCUUGUUUCACAUAUUAAAAGUACAUUCAGGAAAUGUUAUGUUAUCGUGGAGAACAUCACGAGGUCAAUGACUAAGAACUUUGAGAAUAUUAUGUGUGCAAUUGAAGAAUCUAAGGAUUUGACCAUGUUCUUGGUUGAAGAGCUUGUUAGGUUUUUUAGCACGUGAGCAAUUGAGGAGAACGUUGUUUGAACAACUUGAUCAGAUAUUUCAGUAAAACUUGACUUAAAGGGAGGUGCUCAAAACACUCAAAGCCGAGGUGGUCUUGGAAGAAGAGGCUGUGGACAAAGACGUCGUGGCAAAGUUGAUUGUGAAGACAAAAAUAAGCAAACCAGAAACAAAAUGGGAGAGGUUGUGGUAAAGCAAGAGGCUGAAGAGGUCGAUCUAUUAAUUCUGAAGUAGAAUGCUAUAAAUGUGACAAACAUGGCCACUAUGCCAAUGACGACAGGUUGACCAAGUGUUAUAAUUGUGAUAAGGUUGAUCUAUAACAAAAUACUAUCGAGUGGAAAAGAAAAAGGAAACAAAUAUCCUUAUUAAGAGGCUGAUGAAGAGAUUGAGAUCCUGAUGAUGUCAAGAACCCCAAAGACCGAGUUGCUGAGUUUGAAUGGCUACCAAGCUGUAAGAGCUCGGAUGUCAGUUUGCCGAGCUAGAAGAGCCAAAUGUCAAAGUUGCCAAAUAGAAAGAGCUAGAUGUCGGGGUGUCGAGUUGUAAGGUCAAGUUGCCAAGUUGGAGUUCGAAACCCAUUCCAAGAUUCUUGACCUCGAGGAGUACGAAAGUUGAGGUGAAUAUAAAUAAAACAACUGUUGUCACUAGUGCAUAAUUGGCCUUUAACGUCACUCUGUAGACGUUGGAUCAGAAAACACCCAACGUAAAUUAUUGACUGGUGGUAUUUUCGUAAAUAGGUUGGUCAUGUAGACGUCAGUUUGGAGAGACCUUGACGUCUAUAGGCCCUUUCUAACUGACGUCUAUAUGUCUGACAGAUAGGUGAAAAAUAAUUUUUUCCGCCAUAUAGACGUCUAAUCCCGCCACUCCGACGUCUAUAUGCUAUUAUAGACGUCGGUACCCCUCCUAACCGACAUCUAUAUGUUUGACAGGUAGGUGAAAAGAAAUUUAUUUCCCCAUUUAGAUGUCUGAUCCCGCCACUCCGACGCCUAUAUGCGAUUAUAGACGUUAGCUCCCCCUACAUUCAACAUCUAUAUAUACCACUUAAAUCGAAUGGACGUCACAUUAGUGAGGUACCCGACGUCUUAGUUCCUAUUAAAUCUAACAUUGCGAACUAGCAGUUACGCGCACUUCAUCAUCUUCCUCCGCCUUUCCUCUCCGCGAGAUUUCAUUUCCAAGUGCGUUUUAUCUCUUUUGAACAGUUUAAACUUCCUUUUACUCUGAUUAAAGUAGUCUUUGAUCUAUUAUCUUUCAUUUGAACCGAUUAAAAUGAGUUUUUGUUGUGUUUUGGUGCAGUUACUCUUGUGUCUUUGGUAGCAUAGUGUACCUUCUCCCUCUGCUAGUUUCCUUGUAAGAAAAGCUUGCAUCUUUUGGAUCUCUUAUGGCAUUUCAACCCAAAGUCGAACCUGAGUCCUUACUUAGUUUUCAUGUCACCGUAUUAUUUUUCUUUGGCAGUUGGAAUGGAACUUGGUAAAGACCCAGGUUCGGUUUUGGGUUGAAAUGUCAUAAAAGAUCCAAAAGACGCAUUUUUUUUAUGAAGAAACUAACAAAGGAAGGAAGUGCUACUACGCUACCCAAAGAUACGAGCAAAACUACACUAAAAAACAAUGAAAACACAAUGAAAAAACAAGAUAAAGAUAAAAAAUUAAAAGUAAAAAAUGUAGUAUAUUAUAAACCUCCUUAAAAAACAAUUGAAACCUCCACAAUUAUUAGCUUUUAAACAAUAGAUAAAAAUUAUCCUAAAUUAUGGUGAUUUGUGGAGGUUUUUCAUAACCUCCUUAAAAUUUGUAGAAUAACUGCAAAAUUGAUUUCAAACGAAACUGAUAACAUGUUUGCUACAUAUUCGUUGAUUUUAAAAUGAAGCCAUUUGCAUUGCAAUGUUUUAAUCUAAAGCAAGUCAAUAACAAAAUUUAGUAUAGAUUUUUCAAUUUAAAUUAAAACUUGUCUCAAGUUACUUCAAUUAAGUAUCAACUUUGAAUCCAAAGAAAAUAAAAGUAGCCAGUACCUUCGCCGUGGUCAUCAGUUUAAUGGCUACAUUGGCAUACUUGACAACCCCUAUGAGAGUAUGAGUCCAAAACAUAAUGCUAGGGUUCGAGGUAGGAAGAGCUUUAAUCAGUGUAAAAGGUUGGAAAGAAUAUUUAAUCGGUGUAAAUAGAUAGAAACCGAUUUCAAUCUGUGAAAAAUGAAGGAAAAGGCAAAACCUAGCGGAAGAUGAGGUUUGGUGUUUGAGGCGACGCUCGAGGCAGCGAAGAAGAUGUAGUUCGGUGAGGAGCGAACGUGAAAUCGAGAGUGCUUCAAAAUGAGAUUAGGUAUUGGUGUCCUAAUUCUCUCAAGGAGAAGAGAGCAUGAAGAUGUGGUGAGAGAGGAAUGUCCUUGGAGGAGUGCACGAUUUAGAGAGGAAGAGAGGAACGAGAGUGAGAGGGAACGUGAAAUAAAUGUGGUUGAUGAUUGUGUGUAUCACAAGUUCAAUGGGAGUAAGUAUAUCUUUUUGGUCUUGUAUGUUGAUGACAUACUACUUGUUACCAACAAUAUAGACAUGUUUCACGAAACCAAGAGAUUUCUAUCUAGAUAUUUUGAAAUGAAAGAUCUUGGUGAUGCUUUCUUUGUAUUAGGAAUUUAGAUACACCACGAUUGAUCUCGCGAUAUUUUAGGAUUAUCACAGAGGAAUUACAUCGAUAAGGUGCUUAAAAGGUUUGGUAUGCAAGAUUGUAAAGCAAGAGAUACUCCAGUUGCUAAGGGAGACAAGUUUAGUCUUAAUCAGUGUCCAAAAGGAAAUCUAGAAAUUCAAGAAAUGCAAAAGAUUCCUUAUUCUUCAGUAGUAGGGAGUUUGAUGUAUGCCCAAGUAUGUACGCAUCCAAAUAUAGCCUACACCAUUUGGGUUUUAGGCAGAUAUUUAAACAAUCCAGGAAUGGAUCAUUGGAAAGUAGAAAAAAAAGUUAUGAGGUAUUUACAAAGAACAAAAGAUUAUAUGCUCACGUAUAGGAGAUUAGACCGGUUAGAGAUCACUGGAUAUUCUGACUCAGAUUUUGCACUUUAGGUUACAUUUUCAUGUUGGCCGGUGGAGCGGUUUCUUGGCGUAGUGCUAAGCAAACCUUUACGACUUCAUCUACUAGGGCUGUAGAAUUUGUAGCAUGAUAGGAGGCAUCAAAUAAAGGUAUAUGACUGAGAAAAUUUGUCACAAGGCUGCACAUUAUGGAAGGAAUUGAAAGACCACUCAAGUUAUACUGUGACAACAAAUCAGUUGUAAUGUAUUCUAACAACAAUAGGAGAUCAAGCAAGUCAAAGCACAUUGACAUCAAUUUCUUGGUUGUUAAAGAAAGAGUGUAUAGUGGAUAAAUUUCUAUAGAGCACUUAAGGACAAACUCCAUGUUGGCAGAUCCUCUUACAAAGAAUAUUACACGAGCUUCUGAAACAGAGCCUCUUACAAAGAAUAUUACAUGUUGGCAGAUCCUCUUACAAAGAAUAUUACAAUAAGUGUGCCAAAGCCUAGAGGAACAAAGCUUCUGAAAAGGGUGGCACCCUGCAUAUUGGUGGGUCGAUCACAAUUCAUGAACAUGCCAUUCGUAUGGUAAACUUUCAUUACUUUUUUUUUUCUUUCAUAUAACUUAUGUAUUUUCUAUUUCAUAUGUACACUUCUAACUCUAAAUUAUGUUAUAGGCACAAGUUCUAGGAAAGGCGAUCCAUGUUGAUGAGGUCUUUGCACAAACCCAUGUUAGGAAGGGCACUAAUGAAUUUGUUGAUGAAAGAUCUCGGAAUACUCAUGUAAGCAAAUAACAUUGUUACUAUUAGUAAUUUGUCAUUAAUGUUAUUUUAUCAUUCCCUAGCAUUGCUUUUAAUGUUUCAACAGGAAGAAUUUUCUACGAGACUUUCACAGGCUAGAUCUAAACAUGGGUCAGCUCCUACACCGAAUGAUGUGAGUAAUGCAAAAGACGACAUCCGUAGGACACAAUGUCGGGUCGACAUCGUUGGUGGGAAGGAAAAGGGACGAGUGUAUGGUGCAGGAGAACUUGCUGCAAACUAUACAUCAUCGAGAGGAGGUACUCUGAAGCACCAACCUUCUUCUUCCACCAUUACUGCUAACGAGGCCGUUGUCCGCCUCACGUAGGUACUGGAGCAACGUGACCAGGAAAUCACUGAUUUGAGAGCAAAGUUUAGAAACUUUAAGGCCUUGGUCAUGAGACUGUUGCUUGAAACUUCACAGGAUCAGCUUAUUAUCCCUCCGGCCUAGCCACAAUCCUCCCCGUCACCCGCCGUCCCUCAACAGCCCUCAUCAGUCCAGCCGACAUCAGUACAACCCACACCAGUCCAACCAUCUAUAGAAGAGGAACAGGAUGAUGAAGAUCAUUUAGAUGAUAACUAUGAAGGAUAUUAGUUUUAUUUUGUUAUUGAACAUAGUUGUUAUAGAAACAUUUGGAUAUGAGAUCAUUUUGAUGUUAGAUCAAUUGGAUGAUUUGAAUGUUAGAACAUUAUGUUAGAUUGAUUUAUGUUUCAUUUAUAAAUACACAUGUUCUAUUGAUGAUUGAAUGAUUCAGAUGUUAUAUUUUUUUUUUCAGAUCAAUGAUUGGAUGAUUGAGAUGCACAUUAUGCAGGUCUGUAUGUGGUUGGAAAAUGUUAUGCAAGUCUGUUUGUGCUGUGAACAAUUUUUACAGGUUUGUUUGGUUUAAUAAGAAAUAUAAAUGUGCCUGAGAUUUGUCUAGAUCUUACCGAAGGCUUUACCGCAGACUUUUAUCCUUCAGUAAUUACUGACGGCCUGCGCUCUUCGGUAAUUACCAAAACUUUUGUCAUUCGGUAAUUAUCGACAACCUCUUGUCCUUCGGCCUCUGGUCUUCCAUUAGAGGGAGAUGAAGAGUUCUAGGUUAUGAUUAUGUUUUUGCAGUAGAAGAUAAAGAACAUUGGAAUAACGUAUGGUAUUCAUGGAUACACGCAUUAACUUAAACAGACGAUACAACUUAGUCAAACUUCAUGUCUGAAGUAUGCUAGUUACUGAAUUACAGCUGCAAGUAGAAGAAGACUGUGGUUGACUUCACAGUUAUAACACGAACGUUCCAGAAAUUCGAUACCAUGUGCGACUCAGUCAUCUAAUAGGUAGUGGACCAACAUGCACCGAGGUUUCUUUUUCCUUAUUUAUUGUCAUUUUGUCGAAUAACACAUUAGUUUGGAUUGGUUGUCUCACUAUGUUUUGUCCAGUUUACAUCAUUAAAGUUAUGGCAUUGUUCAGUUUAUUUGUAGUCCAGGGAUUAUGGUCGUGCUUUUGACAUUGGAGAGAGGGAGACGAAGAGUUCUAGGUUAUGAAGAACAUCGCAAUAACGUAUGGUAUUCAUGGAUACACGCGUUAACUUAAACAAACGAUACAACUUAGUCAAACUUCACGGCUGAAGUAGGCUCAACAUGCGCGACUCAGUCAUCUAAUAGGUUUAACUAGUGGACCAACAUGCUCCGAGGUUUCUUUUUCCUUAUUUAUUGUCAUUUUCUCGCAUACCAC